UACGUAGGGGCCAAGCGUUGUUCGGAUUUACUGGGCGUAAAGGGCGCGUAGGCGGCCUGUUAAGUCAGCUGUGAAAUCUCCGAGCUUAACUCGGAACUGUCAGCUGAUACUGAUGUGCUAGAGUGCAGAAGGGGCAAUCGGAAUUCUUGGUGUAGCGGUGAAAUGCGUAGAUAUCGAGAGGAACACCUGAGGUGAAGACGGGUUGCUGGGCUGACACUGACGCUGAGGCGCGAAAGCCAGGGGAGCAAACGGG
rnacentral:rRNA from 1 species